UCGGAUGUGGUGUACGGUGCGCACCCGCUGUGAAUAGGACAGUUCGCGAGAGUUAUGAGCGGGAGGCCUGGGUUCGAUUCCCAGCAUCCGAA